UGAAACUUUAAAAUAGGUGAGUUAUAUGCAGAUUUCAGACUAUACUUCUAGCAAUAUAUGUGACAUUCCAAUGCUCAAGGAGCAAUCUUAGUAAAUCAUUAACAAACUAGAAAAGAAUCAUGUACCAUUGGGUGAUAGUCCUCCAUUGCUCCCUAUUUGCUAAGGCAGCCAUGAAUAAACAAAUUCAUCAAUAUAUAAACAAGAGGGUGCUGCUUAGCACUGGCUAGAGGAAAUAAUUUGUAACAUUUAUUUUUUCAACCCAUACAUCAAAGGCAAAGCUCAUCGCUUCACUAAAAGAGAGACCAGCCAAAAUUGAUAUUGUGUAGAACAUUUUUAUGAUAAAUGGCACACAAUAAGAAUUUCCCAUGCUGACCUGAGCUCAAAUUUGCAUAGGUAUCCAUUUUACAUGAAGGUGUAGCAUAUAAGAGAAGGAAGUUUAGAAAUAGGAGGGAAGUGAAUGCUUUGGAGAGAAAAGGUGUUUGGUAGUUAUGAAAUUGUUAGGGCUGUUGUAGAGUUGUUGGUGCUGUUAAGAGUCAGUUAUAGAACUGUAGAGAAAUCCACAGCUCUGGACAAAUAGCUGACUCAACAUUGUAGUUUCUCAUUCUGAAUCUAAUAAAGAAAUUGAUCUUCUUCUUUUCUCUAAAUCCUCUAUUCUCUACUCUUUCUCUUUCUCCUCCCUAAUUCUCUCUUUCUUCUUCUGUUGAGAGGUGGAAAUCCCUGCAUUAAGGUUUCUAUCAUGGUUUCAAAUAAUGGUCGUUGCGUUUUAUUUAUAGGUUUUGAAGGGGGCUGUUACGCAUGAGGCCAUUAUUUAUAGGCAAAUAGGCACUUGCAGGCAUAACGGUCAUUAUGGCCAUUACAUAACAGUAACAGCUGUUACCGACUGUUAAAUAAUGGUAAUGGCCAUUACUUUGACUAUUCCUCUACCAUUUUUUCACAUGUAUAUAUAGUUUUG
rnacentral:misc_RNA from 1 species